rnacentral:rRNA from 1 species
GUGGGGAAUUUUGGACAAUGGGCGCAAGCCUGAUCCAGCCAUUCCGCGUGCAGGAUGAAGGCCUUCGGGUUGUAAACUGCUUUUGUACGGAACGAAAAGCCUCUGGUUAAUACCCGGGGGUCAUGACGGUACCGUAAGAAUAAGCACCGGCUAACUACGUGCCAGCAGCCGCGGUAAUACGUAGGGUGCGAGCGUUAAUCGGAAUUACUGGGCGUAAAGCGUUCCCAGGCGGUGAUGUAAGACAGUUGUGAAAUCCCCGGGCUCAACCUGGGAACUGCAGCUGUGACUGCAUUGCUGGAGUGCGGCAGAGGGGGAUGGAAUUCCGCGUGUAGCAGUGAAAUGCGUAGAUAUGCGGAGGAACACCGAUGGCGAAGGCAAUCCCCUGGGCCUGCACUGACGCUCAUGCACGAAAGCGUGGGGAGCAAACAGGAUUAGAUACCCCUGUAGUCC